rnacentral:lncRNA from 10 species
GUCACAAAAGCCAUAUAGUAUAUGAUUCCAUUUAUUUGAACUGUCAAGAAUGGGAAAACACACAGAGACAUAAAGCAAAUUCAUGAUUGUAAUGAUUAUUUAGGGAUGGAAGGGCUAGGGGAUUCAGGUUGUGUUUCUUUUUAGGUGAUGAGAAGGUUUUAAAGUUGAUUGUGGUAAUAGUUUCAUGACUGUGAACAUGCUAAAGGGCAUCGAAUUAUAUACUUUAGUAAGUGAACUAUAUGGUACUGAGGCAGGAUAGAUAGUCAAGGAGAUGACCACGUCCUUGGGACAUGGCAACCACACUGUCAACAGCACAAUGAGCCCUGUAACCAUGUUCAUUGGGACAUAGCAACCGCACCAACAACACAACAAACCUCAGCACUCACAUUGUAAUCAAGCUCAUCCAAGCAGAACUACCUUCACUGGGGACUUUCCCCUGUAGAGAGCAUGUGCAUUUUCACUUUGCUUGUCCUCAGAAUGACCCUUUGCUCAUUAUAAUAGUAAAAAACACACCCCUGGGUAGAGAUUUAAGACGGCAAUGAGACAUGCAAUGUAUGAACAAGCAUGUACAGCAACUGCUCAUGUGCACCCAGAGGACCACCCAGAACAUGAUUACUAGGAACACACCUCUUCCCACCCACUAUGAAUAAUCACAUAAGACUCUCAUAAAGGGAGUUCCCUCAGAGCCAGUCUUUGCUGACUCACUCUUGAUCAGCCCACUCUGACUUAUCUUUCAGAGUGUACCUUUCAGAGUGUAUCUUUCAGAGUUUUAUCUUUGCACUAAAUUACUUUCAGCUGUUUCUUUUUACACUCAGCUUUCAGAGUGUUCUUUCUCUUUUGCAAUACAUUGCUUUCUGUUGUUCCUCUAUGGUUGUGUCUCUUGUUAAAAUUAUUUUAACCAAGAAGACAAGAACAGAGGUCUCACAAUCACCGUCAACAGUAUGUAAAUUAUACCUCAGUGAAGCUAUUACCAAAAAAAUUAACCCUGUGUUCCUCUUCCUCCUAAUGCAGUUGUAGCCACUCUCCUGAAUUUUGUCUCUAUUGUCCUAUUGAUUUUUAAAUUUUUUUAUAAACACAUCCCUUAAUAAUAUAUAAAUGUAAUCCUUAACAAUAUACAUUUAGUUUAUAAUUUUUAAAGUUUGUAAAAGUAGAAUCAAACAUCAAGCAUUCCAUAACAAUAUUUUUGGUUCAAUAUUAGGUUUCAUACCCAUGUUGAUUGGCCAUAGCUAUUCAUUCAUUUGCAUGGUACUCCCAUGUGGCAAAUGGGAAUGUGCCACAGUUUACUUAUCCUGACUCCUGUCAACAAUCACUGGAGGUUGUAUAUAGUCCAUUCUCACACUGCUAUGAAGAAAUACCCAAGACUGGGUAAUUUAUAAAGGAAAGAGGUUUAAUUGACCCACACUUCCACAUUGCUGGGGGGCCUCAGGAAACUUACAGUCAUGACAGAAGGCAAAGGAGAAGCAGGCACCUUCUUCACAGGGCAGCAGGAUGGAGUGAGUGCAAGCAGGGGAAAUGCCAGAUUCUUAUAAAACCACCAGAUUGGCCGGGUGCGGUGGCUCACGCCUGUAAUCCCAGCACUUUGGGAGGCCGAGGCAGGCGGAUCACGAGGUCAAGAGAUCAAGACCAUCCUGACCCACAUAGUGAAACCCCAUCUCUACUAAAAAUACAAAAAUUAGCUGGGUUUGGUGGUGCAAGUCUGUAGUCCCAGCUACUCAGGAGGCUGAGUCAUCAGAAUCGCUUGAACCCGGGAGGCGGAGGUUGCAGUGAGCCAAGAUCGCACCACUGCACUCUAGCCUGGUGACAGGGCAAGACUCCAUCUCAAAAAUAAAUAAAUAAAUAAAUAAAAAUAAGAUCUCACAAGAUUCACGUACCAUCAUUAGAACAGCAUGGGGGAACCACCCCCACGAUCCCAUUACCUCCACCUGGUCCUGCCUUUGACACGUGGGAAUUACAAUUCAAGAUGAGAUUUUGGGUGGGGACCACCGCCAAACCAUAUUAGGGGUGUUCCCAGUGUGUCACCAUUACUGAACAGGUUACUGUUAAUACUCUCCAUAGUAUGUUUUGAUAAACAGAUGUUCUUAUCUAAUGUAAUGAAAUUUAUCUCUUUGUACCUUACUUUUUGUCUUUAUUUUUUGUGCUUAUGAACUACAGUAAGGUCAUAAAGAUGUUCUCCUGUAUUUGCUUCUAAAAAUUGACAUCUGUCCUUCACAUGUAAGUCUGAAAUUCUCCCCAAACUGACUUUUUCUGUGCAGUGCAAAGUCCAUGUGGUUAUAUGUGAAUACCAUUUACUAGUUAGGGAUCAACAAACUAUAGCCUACAGGCAAAUGCAGGCCUUCAUCUGUUUUUGUUUUGUUUGUAAUAGACACUGGGUGUCACUAUGUUGCCCAGUUCAAAUAAUCCUCCUGCCUCUGCCUCCCAAAGUGCUGGGAUUAUAGGUGUGAACCACCAUGCCUGGUCUCCUUUGCCCGUUUUUGUACAGCCCAGUAGCUAAUAAUGGUUUCUGCAUUUUAAAUGGCUGAGAAAAACAAAAAGAAAGCUAAUAACUCAUGACCCAUGAAAAUUAUAUGAAAUUUAAAUCUCAAUGCACAUAAAGUUUUAUUAGAACAUAUCCAUGAUCAUUUGUUCACGUACAGUAUUGUCUAUAGCUGCUCUUACAAUACCACAGCAGAGGUGACUAACUACAACAGACACUGUGAACACCACGUAAGGCUGUCUAGCCCUUACCAAAAAAGUUUGCCAAUCCCUCAAUAGUUCAUCCUUUCCCCCCAUGAUCUGCAGUACUGUCUCUGUUGUAAAUUAGAGUUUCAUUUAUUUGUGGGUCUGUUUUGGAAAUUUGGCUCAAUCCAUUGGCCAAUUUAACUAUCUCUACACCAAAAAUACACUAUCUUGAUCACAAUAAUAAUUUAUAAUAAGCCUUAAUAAUAACACAAGUCUCCCUGCCUGAUGUUCCUUCUUUGUUAAUGAAAUAGCUAACCCUGCCUCUUUACUUUUCCAAAUACAUUUCAGAAUCUGGCUUCCAAUUCCAGGAAAGACCUUGUUGGGAUUUGGUUUGGAAUCACAUUGAAUCCAUAGAAACGCCCUCUACUUGAGAUAACUGGAGCUGGACUCUGCC